CUAAAAUUUAUAUGGAAAUUCAAGUGACCUAGAAUAGCUAAAGCAAUUUUGAAAAAGAACAAGUUAAUGACUUACAGUACCUGAUUUCAAGAUUUCAAGACAGUGUGGUAUUGGCAUAAGGAUAGACAUAGAUCGUGAAACAAAGUAGAAUCCACAAAUACACUCACACAAUGUAGUCAAUUUGCCUUCAACAAAAGUACUUUGUCAAGUGAUUCAAUGAGGAAAGGUGGGCUUUUCAACAAAUGGUAGUGGAAGAAGAAGAAGGAGGAAUAGGAGAAGGAGGAGGACGCGGAUGAGGAGGAGGAGGACGACGAGGAGGAGGAGUUGGAAGAGGAGGAGAAGGAAAAAGAACUUUGACCCUUACUUCAUACUACAUACAAAAAUGAAUUCAUGAGCACUGGGUGAUACAGUAUAUGUUGGCAAAUUGAACUCCAAUAAAAAAAAAAUAAAUGAAAAAAAAAUGAAUUCAAAGUAGGAGAUAGUCCUAAAUAUAAGAGAGCUAAAUUUAUAAAACUUCUGUAACAUAACAUAGGAGAAAAUUUUGUCACCUUGAGUUAGGCAAAGAUUUCUUAGUACACAAAAAAGCACAAGCCAUAAAAUUUUAUGAAUUGUUUUAUUUUUAUAUACUUUUGGAAGUUGGAAGUCUCACCUGAGGGGAGGACAGUCUAUCCAGGCCUCUCGAUCUGUGCUUCAGCCUGGCUCUCUCCAUGGGGCUUCCCUGGUUGGAUGUUUUCGCAGGGCCCCAGUCACGAAGCCUACGAAGGUAGAGGAACAAGUUUUUCCACCCCUACAAAGACCUAUGGAGACCAUCGGCACUUGCUGAUCUGGGCAGGCAGAGAGAGAAGUGGCCGAAGUGACGAGUCCAGACAAGCCAAGACCAAGCAUUGUCUGGAGCAGCCGAGUCUUCAUAGCAGCAGCCCCAGCUGAAGGAGGAGCUCACGUGCAUUCUCGAAAAGACAGCUGGGCUGCUGCCAGGGGCCGGGAGUAGAGCUGUCCAUGGAUGACCUUCCUUCCAGGCCCCGCAGCCCCCUGCGGAGGGCUGGCUCUGUCUCUCCUCCUGUCUCCUUAGCUAACCUGGAGGAGCCUCAUGAACACAUGUACAAGAAGAACUCUCCAGUUCUAAAAUUCUAGAAUUACACCCACCAAGCACAGUAAAAACUCAUUAAUGCAGACCACUUGUUCCAAGUUUCUAAUUAUUCCUUUUGGACUAAACUUAAGCUUAUUUUGCUCAGCAAAAUUUUAUUAUAGAUAGCUCAAAUUAAAGAGAGAAUAAGCAGAGCAAUUGUUUAGGAUAUUGAAGGGAACAAGCUAUUAAUUUAAUAUGUUAAUUUCAAAC
rnacentral:lncRNA from 12 species